rnacentral:lncRNA from 1 species
UCUAUCUAAUCUUGAAAUGAAUCUUUAUAGCUUUUAAUAGGCAUGCUAAAUCCUCUGCAUUCCUACUUCUCUUUUCACUACAAUUAUAAUGAAUUCAAUCUGGUAAAAAAAUGAAAUAUCUGCUGUACUUUAUCCAUUCAAGAACUCAAUCCGAGUUCUAUGAAAAGCAACAGAUGCAAACAGCAUCGCUGAACUUGAAGCGACUACUCUUUGUUCUUGCCAUUAAGAUUGUGAGAAGAGAAGCUGAGAUUGCCAUUAAGAUUGCCAUUAAGACUGCCCAUGUGUGGGUGCCUGGGCGCCCACCAGUGCCCAAACCGGGCAGUAAGUUGGCGCCUAGGCACCCCGGCACAUAUAUAUAUUUCCGUUUUUCUGCCUCUUCCAUAUAACACAAGACCUAGGCCCGAUUUUUGAGAGAGAAAAGGGAGAAAGCUUGGAUAAUAUUUUACAAGAUUGAGAUUGUUCAUCUUGGGUAUAAAUUCAAAGUUAUUUUCUUUCUUGGGGAUUAACUUGAGGCUUGUUCAAGUAAUCCAAAUACAUUGUUCUCCAUUUAUCCAUUGAAAUCAUUUCUUC